rnacentral:rRNA from 1 species
UCCGGUUGAUCCUGGCGGAGGUUACUGCUAUCGAGGUUCGACUAAGCCAUGCGAGUCGAAUGUAGCAAUACAUGGCGUACUGCUCAGUAACACGUGGACAGCCUACCCUGAGGUCGGGGAUAAACCCGGGAAACUGGGUAUAAUACCCGAUAGAUCUAGAUUGCUGGAAUGCUUUUAGGUCUAAAGUUCCGACGCCUCAGGAUGGGUCUGCGGCCUAUCAGGGUAGUAGUGGGUGUAAAGUACCUACUAGCCUACGACGGGUACGGGUUGUGAGAGCAAGAGCCCGGAGAUGGAUUCUGAGACACGAAUCCAGGCCCUACGGGGUGCAGCAGGCGCGAAACCUUUACAAUGCUGGCAACAGCGAUAAGGGGACCUCGAGUGCUACGAUACAAUCGUGGCUGUCUAGUUGCCUAAAAAGCAAUUGAUAGCAAGGGCCGGGCAAGACCGGUGCCAGCCGCCGCGGUAACACCGGCGGCUCGAGUGGUAACCGCUAUUAUUGGGUCUAAAGGGUCUGUAGCCGGCUUAGUUAGUCUCUUGAGAAAUCUGGCCGCUCAACGGUCAGGCGUUCAGGGGAUACUGCUAAAGCUCGAGACCGGGAGAGGUGAGAGGUACUUCAGGGGUAGGGGUGAAAUCUUGUAAUCCUUGAAGGACCACCAGUGGCGAAGGCGUCUCACCAGAACGGAUCUGACGGCAAGGGACGAAAGCUAGGGGCACGAACCGGAUUAGAUACCCGGGUAGUCCUAGCCGUAAACGAUACUCGCUAGGUGUCGGCCACGGUGCGACCGUGGUCGGUGCCGUAGGGAAGCCGUGAAGCGAGCCACCUGGGAAGUACGGCCGCAAGGCUGAAACUUAAAGGAAUUGGCGGGGGAGCACUACAACGGGUGGAGCUUGCGGUUUAAUUGGAUUCAACGCCGGAAAUCUUACCGGGGCCGACAGCGAUAUGAAGGCCAGGCUAAGGACCUUGCCUGAUUAGCUGAGAGGUGGUGCAUGGCCGUCGUCAGUUCGUACUGUGAAGCAUCCUGUUAAGUCAGGCAACGAGCGAGACCCA